rnacentral:rRNA from 1 species
AGUGAACGCUGGCGGUAGGCCUAACACAUGCAAGUCGAACGGCAGCACAGAGGAGCUUGCUCCUUGGGUGGCGAGUGGCGGACGGGUGAGGAAUACAUCGGAAUCUACUCUGUCGUGGGGGAUAACGUAGGGAAACUUACGCUAAUACCGCAUACGACCUACGGGUGAAAGCAGGGGCUCCUCGGACCUUGCGCGAUUGAAUGAGCCGAUGUCGGAUUAGCUAGUUGGCGGGUAAAGGCCCACCAAGGCGACGAUCCGUAGCUGGUCUGAGAGGAUGAUCAGCCACACUGGAACUGAGACACGGUCCAGACUCCUACGGGAGGCAGCAGUGGGGAAUAUUGGACAAUGGGCGCAAGCCUGAUCCAGCCAUACCGCGUGGGUGAAGAAGGCCUUCGGGUUGUAAAGCCCUUUUGUUGGGAAAGAAAUCCAUCUGGUUAAUACCCGGGUGGGGUGACGGUACCCAAAGAAUAAGCACCGGCUAACUUCGUGCCAGCCGCCGCGGUAA